UACGUAGGGCGCAAGCGUUGUCCGGAAUUAUUGGGCGUAAAGAGCUCGUAGGCGGCUUGUCACGUCGAUUGUGAAAGCCCGAGGCUUAACCUCGGGUCUGCAGUCGAUACGGGCUAGCUAGAGUGUGGUAGGGGAGAUCGGAAUUCCUGGUGUAGCGGUGAAAUGCGCAGAUAUCAGGAGGAACACCGGUGGCGAAGGCGGGACUCUGGGCCGAUACUGACGCUGAGGAGCGAAAGCGUGGGGAGCAAACAGG
rnacentral:rRNA from 1 species